ACGUCCUGCUCGUGAUCGUCUUCUCACCCUUCACGUGGCAGGCGGAGAGAAAGGGGCAGCCCCCGCGAGGACAGGACUCGCGGGGGCUGCCC
rnacentral:ncRNA from 1 species